AGUGAACGCUGGCGGUAGGCCUAACACAUGCAAGUCGAACGGCAGCACAGUAAGAGCUUGCUCUUACGGGUGGCGAGUGGCGGACGGGUGAGGAAUACAUCGGAAUCUACUUUUUCGUGGGGGAUAGCGUAGGGAAACUUACGCUAAUACCGCAUACGACCUACGGGUGAAAGCAGGGGAUCUUCGGACCUUGCGCGAUUGAAUGAGCCGAUGUCGGAUUAGCUAGUUGGCGGGGUAAAGGCCCACCAAGGCGACGAUCCGUAGCUGGUCUGAGAGGAUGAUCAGCCACACUGGAACUGAGACACGGUCCAGACUCCUACGGGAGGCAGCAGUGGGGAAUAUUGGACAAUGGGCGCAAGCCUGAUCCAGCCAUACCGCGUGGGUGAAGAAGGCCUUCGGGUUGUAAAGCCCUUUUGUUGGGAAAGAAAAGCAGCAGGUUAAUACCCCGCUGUUCUGACGGUACCCAAAGAAUAAGCAUCGGCUAACUUCGUG
rnacentral:rRNA from 1 species